rnacentral:tRNA from 1 species
GGGCUGGGGCUCGGCGGUAGAGCACACGUCUCGCAUGUGUGAGGCCUUGGGUUCGAUUCUCAGCACCACA